CCUACGGGAGGCAGCAGUGGGGAAUUUUGGACAAUGGGCGCAAGCCUGAUCCAGCAAUGCCGCGUGCAGGAUGAAGGCCUUCGGGUUGUAAACUGCUUUUGUACGGAACGAAACGGUCUGCUCUAAUACAGUGGGCUAAUGACGGUACCGUAAGAAUAAGCACCGGCUAACUACGUGCCAGCAGCCGCGGUAAUACGUAGGGUGCGAGCGUUAAUCGGAAUUACUGGGCGUAAAGCGUGCGCAGGCGGUUAUAUAAGACAGAUGUGAAAUCCCCGGGCUCAACUUGGGACCUGCAUUUGUGACUGUAUAGCUAGAGUGCGGCAGAGGGGGGAUGGAAUUCCGCGUGUAGCAGUGAAAUGCGUAGAUAUGCGGAGGAACACCGAUGGCGAAGGCAAUCCCCUGGGCCUGCACUGACGCUCAUGCACGAAAGCGUGGGGAGCAAACAGGAUUAGAUACCCUGGUAGUCCACGCCCUAAACCGAUGUCAACUGGUUGUUGGGUCUUCACUGACUCAGUAACGAAGCUAACGCGUGAAGUUGACCGCCUGGGGGAGGUACGGCCGCGAGGUUAGUAAACGUUAAAGGUAAAGUUAGACGGCGUGAGACGUUAGGCCGACGGACGACCGACCGGAGGGGAGGGUAGGGGAG
rnacentral:rRNA from 1 species